UACGUAGGGGGCAAGCGUUGUCCGGAAUCAUUGGGCGUAAAGCGCGUGUAGGCGGUCCGAUAAGUCGGUUGUGAAAGUCCAGGGCUCAACCCUGGGAUGCCGACCGAUACUGUCGGACUAGAGUUCGGAAGAGGCGAGUGGAAUUCCCGGUGUAGCGGUGAAAUGCGCAGAUAUCGGGAGGAACACCAAUGGCGAAGGCAGCUCGCUGGGACGUUACUGACGCUGAGACGCGAAAGCGUGGGGAGCAAACAGGG
rnacentral:rRNA from 1 species